rnacentral:lncRNA from 1 species
CCAUGAUUUCUUUCCUUAGAAACCAAAAUACUGCCAUAACCGUCACUCUUACCUUCUUUAAACCCCUCAACCCACGAUUUACACCUACAAACCCUAACCUUCAAAAAACCGCUACACCACGAUCCCCACUCUCUCCAAACCUUAAAUUUCCAUAACUGUCGAUCAUCUUUUAAAAGCAAACCUUGUUCCCCAAUUUCCCCACAAAUCCAAACUUCCCCACA